rnacentral:piRNA from 2 species
UGGUGGCUCACAACCAUCUGUAAUGGGAUCU